ACGGGAGGCAGCAGUGGGGAAUAUUGCGCAAUGGGCGAAAGCCUGAUGCAGCGACGCCGCGUGAGCGAAGAAGUAUUUCGGUAUGUAAAGCUCUAUCAGCAGGGAAGAUAAUGACGGUACCUGACUAAGAAGCACCGGCUAAAUACGUGCCAGCAGCCGCGGUAAUACGUAUGGUGCAAGCGUUAUCCGGAUUUACUGGGUGUAAAGGGAGCGUAGGCGGUUUUACAAGUCUGAUGUGAAAGCCCGGGGCUCAACUCCGGUAUUGCAUUGGAAACUGUAGAACUAGAGUGUCGGAGGGGUAAGUGGAAUUCCUAGUGUAGCGGUGAAAUGCGUAUAUAUUAGGAGGAACACCAGUGGCGAAGGCGGCUUACUGGACGAUUACUGACGCUGAGGCUCGAAAGCGUGGGGAGCAAACAGGAUUAGAUACCCUGGUA
rnacentral:rRNA from 1 species